GGACGUAAAGCGCGCGUAGGCGGUUUGUUAAGUCGGAUGUGAAAUCCCCGGGCUCAACCUGGGCACGGCAUCCGAUACUGGCUGACUAGAGUGUGGGAGAGGAAGGUAGAAUUCCAGGUGUAGCGGUGAAAUGCGUAGAGAUCUGGAGGAAUACCGAUGGCGAAGGCAGCCUUCUGGCCUAACACUGACGCUGAGGUGCGAAAGCAUGGGGAGCAAACAGGAUUAGAUACCCUGGUAGUCCAUGCCGUAAACGAUGUCAACUAGCCGUUGGGGACCUUGAGUCUUUAGUGGCGCAGCUAACGCGAUAAGUUGACCGCCUGGGGAGUACGGCCGCAAGGUUAAAACUCAAAUGAAUUGACGGGGGCCCGCACAAGCGGUGGAGCAUGUGGCUUAAUUCGAUGCAACGCGAAGAACCUUACCUGGCCUUGACAUGCAGCGUUCAGUCCCGGAAACGGGGUGGCCCGCAAGGGCGAGCUGCACAGGUGCUGCAUGGCUGUCGUCAGCUCGUGUCGUGAGAUGUUGGGUUAAGUCCCCCAACGAGCGCAACCCCUGUGUUUAGUUGCCGAAAGGUUCUCUAGACAGACUGCCCUCUUCAAGGGGGAGGAAGGUGGGGACGACGUCAAGUCAGGAUGGCCCUUAUGGCCAGGGCUGCACACGUGCUACAAUGCUCGGCACAAAGGGAAGCAAGACCGCGAGGUGGAGCAAAUCCCCAAAACCGAGCCCAGUUCGGAUUGAAGGCUGCAACUCGCCUUCAUGAAGCCGGAAUCGCUAGUAAUGGCGCAUCAGUAUCGGCGCCGUGAUACGUUCCCGGGC
rnacentral:rRNA from 1 species